UGUCUCGCAUUGGCAACUGGGCCCCUUCUUUGCGAUUGCGACGCCGUGAAUUUACGACGAUGUGUGGGGCCAGAAGACACUCAAUGAAGAAGUUCUCGCAUCGAUGCGCUGUCCAUGAAGAGAUUCACUUCUCAACCGACUCCGGAGACGGAAUCAUGAGAAGAAAUGGUGUGGGAAUGGUCGAUUUUUCUCAAGAUUUUGCUGCAGAGUCGGAGAAUGUGGUUGGAGGGCUAUGGUGAUGUAGAUGUGGAUGUGAGAGUGGGAUGAAGGUGGAGUGAGUGAUGGGGGAAGUGAGGAUGGCAACGUCGGAGCGUAAUCCGCCCUCGCACCCGGAGAGAUAGCAAUGCAAUGCAAUUGCUACAUCGCGGCGGCCUCUGCAGUCGCUGUUUGUUUCGUGGCAUUUCGUGACCCGGACGUUUUUAAAAGACUGAGCCUGGGGCAAUUGUAAGGCAGGGUUAAAAUUUGGUGGAAGAGUCCAUAGAGGAAUUGCGGAGCAUGCAGAUUAUGGUGUGUUUACUAUCAUGGAAGCUAUCGGUAGGAAAUUGAGAAGCCCGGAUUUCAGACACGGUACUAUGGGUCGGAGCCGGACAAUGAGGAAUUUGAAGAGGGGGUGGAGGAUGGGGUUCGGCAUGAGAAGUAGAAGGUGAAGUAGUUUAGGUUUAGGUGGAAAUUGGACCCGCAUGAACGACGAUUGCUGAGCGGAGUGAUUGCAGGCACUGUCUUGCGUACUGGCGUAGCUCCACUCGGGAUGAUUCAGACACGCUGGAUUGUGGAGAGCCAUGGCCAUUCAGUCUCUGAGGUCUUCAGUUGGACUGUCACGAAUGAAGAAUGGCAAGGGUUAUUUCGAGGCAAUGCCAUCGAUGUGCUCAAAACUAUCGAACUAUUCGCUUUUGACCAAGUGAAGGGAUAUUUAAUUUCAAUUGAAGGGAGGGCUGGACCUCUACCAUCGUUGCCAGUGUCACGUAUUCCUGGGUUAUGUGCGGAAUUGUUUUCCACAUUGUACACGUACCUCCUGUAGCUUUUGAAGACUCGUCCGACUAUACAGUUGAGGAAUUGCGUUCUGCCUACCUCAAAAUGACAUUUUCGAAUUCAGAUAAAUUGGAACCUUGAAGGGGCAUCCUUACCUGCUUGUGAUCUCCGUUUACAAAAAUUCUGAUGGCGUUUAUUUGUCAUUUUCUUGCUCAACCGGAUAAAUAUCGUGGCAUUCUCCAUGCAUUUAAUAGGAUCAUGAUUGAAGAAGGGUUCCUCGAGCUGUACCAUGGAUUGACACCAAAUAACAUUGGAGUAAUACUCUAUGUUGGAGUCAACUACUUCGCUUCUGAUAAAUUGAGGUUCUUGUACAAGCGUCUGAGCCAAGGAGAACGGAUUGGCAAUAUUCAGACCUUUCUCAUUGUAUUUGCAAGCACAUUUCCGAUAAAGGUGGACGGAAGAAAAUGUAGAUGGCCGUCGUCUUGAAAGACUUUCCCUUAAUUUCAAGGGAUGCUCUGGUCUUUCUUUUCCAACAAGCAUUAGUGAAUGUGUGUGGAUAUGUGUAUAUGUUUAAGGAUACCAGCUUUUUACAGCUCCCAUUGUAUGCAAUUGAAGAGAACGCCCUCUAUGCAGUAACUUUGUAACUUGACUGAUUUCCAUCGAACUACGGGAUCAACACUUGAGAAUCUUAAUUUGGUAACUUCUACGAACAUUUUGGUGAACUAUUGAUUCCUUCGGUUGUGCAGGUAGAAGCAAUUAAAGGAAGGGUUGUAAAUUCCAACAGACUAGAUGCCUUACAGGACAUUGUUUGGGAGCAUGGCAUAAGUGGUUUAUACAGAGCCUUGGGUCCCAGGUGUUUGAAAUCGGUGCCUGUAGCUGGCCUCUCAAUCAUGUGCUACAAAGCAUUGAAAGUGAUUCUGUAAGAAAAAAACGAAAAUAGUCCGUAAUAAGAUCUCUGCGCCUGGCAAUGGAAUUCAA